GACGAACGCUGGCGGCGUGCUUAACACAUGCAAGUCGAACGGACAGGCCCUGCUUUUGUGGGGUGCUCGAGUGGCGAACGGGUGAGUAACACGUGAGUAACCUGCCCUUGACUUUGGGAUAACUUCAGGAAACAGGGGCUAAUACCGGAUAGGAGCUCCUGCUGCAUGGUGGGGGUUGGAAAGUUUCGGCGGUUGGGGAUGGACUCGCGGCUUAUCAGCUUGUUGGUGGGGUAGUGGCUUACCAAGGCUUUGACGGGUAGCCGGCCUGAGAGGGUGACCGGCCACAUUGGGACUGAGAUACGGCCCAGACUCCUACGUGAGGCAGCAGUGGGGAAUAUUGCACAAUGGGCGGAAGCCUGAGGCAGCAACGCCGCGUGCGGGAUGACGGCCUUCGGGUUGUAAACCGCUUUCGCCUGUGACGAAGCGUGAGUGACGGUAAUGGGUAAAGAAGCACCGGCUAACUACGUG
rnacentral:rRNA from 1 species